CAAUACGGGCUUGCAAAGAACGCAAACGAGGUUCUCUUGGUCAUCGAGGCUUACAAGACUCUCCGUGACAGAGCUCCUUACCCGGCCAACCAUGUUGUCGCUCACCUAAGUGGCGAUUUCGCCUUUGUGGUCUUUGACAAAUCAACCUCCACCCUGUUUGUAGCCUCUGUAAGUUCUCUUUUUUAACUCUCAGAAACCCUUUUUGUCUGUAAACUAGCCUAGUUAGAUACAAUUCGGUGGUAACAAUCGGUUUUCAUUUGCUGCAGGACCAAGUUGGUAAGGUUCCAUUGUAUUGGGGAAUCACAGCUGAUGGGUACGUGGCAUUUGCUGAUGAUAUUGAGUUGCUAAAAGGUGCUUGUGGCAAGUCUCUUGCUU
rnacentral:lncRNA from 1 species